rnacentral:rRNA from 1 species
UGGGGAAUAUUGGACAAUGGGCGAAAGCCUGAUCCAGCCAUGCCGCGUGUGUGAAGAAGGUCUUCGGAUUGUAAAGCACUUUAAGUUGGGAGGAAGGGUUGUAGAUUAAUACUCUGCAAUUUUGACGUUACCGACAGAAUAAGCACCGGCUAACUCUGUGCCAGCAGCCGCGGUAAUACAGAGGGUGCAAGCGUUAAUCGGAAUUACUGGGCGUAAAGCGCGCGUAGGUGGUUUGUUAAGUUGGAUGUGAAAUCCCCGGGCUCAACCUGGGAACUGCAUCCAAAACUGGCAAGCUAGAGUAUGGUAGAGGGUGGUGGAAUUUCCUGUGUAGCGGUGAAAUGCGUAGAUAUAGGAAGGAACACCAGUGGCGAAGGCGACACCUGGACUGAUACUGACGCUCAUGCACGAAGGCGUGGGGAGCAAACAGGAUUAGAUACCCCUGUAGUCCCUGAGCGGGCUGGCAAGGCGCAU